UUAUUACCCAAACCCUAAUUUACACUCCAUAACCCUAAUUAUGCAACACACUCACCCCCUUUUCUCCUUCAUGCCACCACUCCUCACUUUCACUGUCUUCACUCACACGAACACCACACACAGCCCCUCGCCCCACUCACUCACCCACGAAAAUCAAGCAGAUAAAAGAGAGGGGAAGCUGCGAUUGAGGAAGGGGAGCAGGAGUCCCUCGCAUCCGCCACAAGCCCGCCGUUUGUAGAUCGUCACCGCCGCUAGAGAGUUACCAUCGCCGAGUUACAUAUCGUCGUCGCCAUCGGAUCCACGUACCGCCAUUGACGAUGUUUAGAGAGGGAGGAAGCACCACAAUGAGAAGCUGUUACCACCGUUAUCAUCAUUGGACUCGUCGCUGGAUCCUCGGCCAUCAUUGUCACUGUUGUAGCUUCGCUGUUUCCGUCGCGACUAUGGGUGUGAAGCUCAUGGAGAAGAAAGAAGCAUGAUGGCCAGAGAGAGGAAAGUCCCGUGAGGAGGGAGGUGCCUCCAUCGCCUCAAAGGCCACCGCCACCGCUAUUUUUGUGGGUUGGAUUUUACCGUGAGGCUGCUGUACCAUCUCUGAGAAAUCUCGCCACCGUCGGUACUAACCGGAGUGACCACCACGGUUGUUCUGCCUUGCCUUCACUUUCCGUCAUUUCUGUUAGGUUCCGUUCUUGCCGGUGAGGGCUGUUGGAUUUGUAGUAGCUCCAUCUUUUGUUUCCCUCUUUAUACGGGUCCAGUUACUGUGACUGCAUGUGGUGUUUGAUGGCUGCUGCUGCCGUGGGUGCGGUUGAAAGGGUUGCCGCCACUAUGAAUUGAAAAAAAAAAGGGUUUGACGCGUUUGGUUUUGAGAGUUUCGACGAGUUGAGGUAGGAGUUUUUUCAGAAAACUAAACUUUAUAAUUUGGAAUUGUUAUAAAUGGAUAUUGAUAUGAAAAAUGUACUUUUAGUGAUUGUAUAAGUCUUAUGUAUUGUUUGGUUGUCUUGGAUGGAUAUGAAUGUUUGUUUGACUGGAUUAUUAUUUGGUUUUGCUAAACGGACGGUUCUUGAAGUGUUUCUUUAAAAGUUUU